rnacentral:rRNA from 1 species
AGCGAACGCUGGCGGCAGGCCUAACACAUGCAAGUCGAACGAACCUUUCGGGGUUAGUGGCGGACGGGUGAGUAACACGUGGGAACGUGCCUUUAGGUUCGGAAUAACUCAGGGAAACUUGUGCUAAUACCGAAUGUGCCCUUCGGGGGAAAGAUUUAUCGCCUUUAGAGCGGCCCGCGUCUGAUUAGCUAGUUGGUUGAGGUAAUGGCUCACCAAGGCGACGAUCAGUAGCUGGUCUGAGAGGAUGAUCAGCCACAUUGGGACUGAGACACGGCCCAAACUCCUACGGGAGGCAGCAGGGGGGAAUCUUGCGCAAUGGCGAAAGCCUGACGCAGCCAUGCCGCGUGAAUGAUGAAGGUCUUAGGAUUGUAAAAUUCUUUCACCGGGGACGAUAAUGACGGUACCCGGAGAAGAAGCCCCGGCUAACUUCGUG